rnacentral:lncRNA from 10 species
GUCAAUGGGCAGGGCUUGCGAUCUUCGCAUGUGUCUUAUCGUAAAGAAUUGUUAAAAUUUAGGAUAGGGAAAAAACUAUUUAAUGGAUGAAGCGAGAACAGCAGGAAGAAAAGGAGGGAAGGUAGUUUUCUAGUACAAGCAUAUUGAGAAGAAUGGAGGACAAAGUUUGCGAAGAGCCAGGUAUAAAUAGGCUGGGGCAGGGUGCUAGUAACUGGGCGGGGUGGGGUGGUGGGAAGUCUCCCGAAAUCAGGAGGUGCGUGCCUCUGGCUUGCUGUGUGAACAGACACACUGGGUCCGGUGAUUUAAGCUGUAAAAUAUGUGAUUAGACUGCAGGUAGUCUAAAUGUCAAAACUGCAGCACUCCACAGCUCUCACUAGGCACUGCUGCCUUAGUAUUUAUUUUAAAAUAUAGAUUACAAGGCCGGGCGCAGUGGCUCACUCCUGUAAUCCCAACACUUUGGGAGGCCGAGGCGGGCCGAUCAUUUGAGGUCAGGAGUUCGAGACCAGCCUGACCAACAUGGUGAAACCCCGUCUCUACUAAAAAUUACACAAAAUUAGCUGGGCGUGGUGGUGCACGCCUGUAAUCCCAGCUACUUGGGAGGCUGGGGCAGGAGAAUUGCUUGAACCUGGGAGACGGAAGUUGCAGCGAGCUGAGAUCGUUCCACUGCACUCCAGCCUGGGCGACAGAGCUGAGACUGUCUCAGAAAAAAAAAAAAAGAAUAAAAUAUAGACUACAGGCCAGGCGUGGUGGCUCACGCCUGUAAUCCUAGCACUUAGGGAAACUGAGGCAGUCAUAUCACUUGAGGUCAGCAGUUCAAGACCAGCCUGGCCAACAUGGUGAAAGCCCGUCUCUAGUAAAAAUACAAAAAUUAGCCCUGCGUCGUGGCGUGCGCCUGUAUUCCCAGCCACUCGGGAGGGUGAGGCACCAGAAUCACCUGAACUCGGGAAGCCGAGUUUGCAGUGAGCUGAGAUCAUGCCAUUGCACUCCAGUCUGGGAGACAAAGCGAGACUCCCUCUCAAAAUAAAUAAAUAGACUACAUAGAGAUAUAUAGACUGUGUAUAUAUAUCAUAUAAUCCAUAUAAAUGCAGAAACAUUUAUUGAAAGACAUUUCGAAGCCAUCGUGUUUGUAUUUCAUGUUCAUGACAAUAAAACUUGUAAACUUCAGUAACAGUUAAACCUUCUUUAAUUAUGGAUUAGCCAUUAACAUUUUUGAAACGUGGACCAUUUAACCUCGGCCUACCCCCUCCAACUGUCCUGGUGAUGAGUUCAUUAGCUAAGUUAAAAUUAAUUUGAACUUUGAUCUAAACCAAAACAAAUCAGGAAAAUAAAGCUGUAAAGGAACUUUAUCAAGCAUUCCAAAACCAACUAGAAAUUACUUGAAGUUUUCGAGUGAGCAUUGCCUGUGCCAGUAUUCUUCAUUAUAGGAUUAUAAACUCGUUUUUUUCCCAAAGCGCAUGUCUACGCCAGGCAGAGGAGUAAUUAUUCAGCCAAUUUCAUGGAUGUAAACGAUGGAUAUAAAUAAUUGAUAGCACCUAGAGGCUUCCAGUUUGGGUGGAAGGCUAAAAGUAGAGGGGAACUCACUCACUUGAGAAAUGAUAUUUAAGUGAAUAAAUAGUUCUCUUCUAUGAAACUAUUACUAUUUAGUUCUCUGGAAAACUUAAGUGUAUUAAUGAUUAGAACAUCAAAUCCUAAGUAAAGAAAUGACAUUUUAAAUAUAAAAAGCCAAACUUUAAAUAAAUCAUAGAGACCUCAGACAUAAUAUAGGAAAGAAUUCUUUUGUCCUUGUUUACACUGUGUACAUAGUACAAAUAUAAUUUUAAAGCUACAUCCUAUAACAUUUAAGAAAUAACAGUAGUUUCAAAAUGCUUAAGAUGAGGAGAAAAAUGCCUUAGAAGACUAGGUUUCUAAAAGUCAGAAAUAAAAGUACAAGUUAUUUUUCUUCUAUCCAGCAACUUUAUAAAGCAACUUGAGUCCUGAAGAAAAGACCGUUGUUCUUUUAAGAAAUGGGUCUUCUCGAAUUAUAAACUUUAACACCAUUUUGCAUCGAAGAAUGAGAAUAUUUAGUGAGUAAUGCACCUAUGGUUUGCUUCUCUCCACACAAAUCUCUGUAGGAACAAUAAAAAAUAUAUAACAUGAAUAUUUUAGGGAACAUAUUAUGAUACAGUACUAUGUACUUAUUUUCUCUCUCUCCCCCUGAAUCUGUCUUCUCAACAAGCGUAA